AUAAUAGAGAGUUUGAUCCUGGCUCAGGACGAACGCUGGCGGCGUGCCUAACACAUGCAAGUCGAACGUGAUCUUCAGAGUAGUUUACUACACUGAAGUGAAAGUGGCGGAC
rfam:Alkalibacter saccharofermentans DSM 14828 genome assembly, contig: EJ14DRAFT_scaffold00010.10